rnacentral:rRNA from 1 species
ACAUGCAAGUCGAACGGAUGUUUUCGGACAUUAGUGGCGGACGGGUGAGUAACGCGUGAGAAUCUAGCUUCAGGUUGGGGACAACAGUUGGAAACGACUGCUAAUACCGAAUGUGCCGAAAGGUGAAAGAUUUAUUGCCUGAAGAAGAGCUCGCGUCUGAUUAGCUAGUUGGUGGGGUAAGAGCUUACCAAGGCGACGAUCGGUAGCUGGUCUGAGAGGACGAUCAGCCACCCUGGGACUGAGACACGGCCCAGACUCCUACGGGAGGCAGCAGUGGGGAAUUUUCCGCAAUGGGCGAAAGCCUGACGGAGCAAUACCGCGUGAGGGAAGAAGGCUCUUGGGUUGUAAACCUCUUUUCUUGGGGAAG